UCCUUUUAAUACUGGAGUAUUGGCUGACAGACCCACCAACAUACAUCCACGUAGACCAUUAAAAGCAGAAACAUCCAUAAAAAGUACAAAAACCUCAGAAGUUUCUGAUGCAUGUACAGGCAUUAGCCGCUUACCAACGGCGGAUCACGGUCGUAAGACAUACAGCGCGAAUGCCGGAGAACGCAGGGACUGCAACCCGCAUAAAUUAAAACAGGCAUCAAAGUUGUCUUUAACCCGGAGCCGCUCUACAAGAGAUAUUACAGUCACACGUGAUGACGAACAACCGUCAACAUCUA